rnacentral:rRNA from 1 species
UAUUGGACAAUGGGCGGAAGCCUGAUCCAGCAACGCCGCGUGAGGGAUGACGGCCUUCGGGUUGUAAACCUCUUUCGCCUGCGACGAAGCGAGAGUGACGGUAGCAGGUAAAGAAGCACCGGCCAACUACGUGCCAGCAGCCGCGGUAAUACGUAGGGUGCGAGCGUUGCCCGGAAUUAUUGGGCGUAAAGGGCUCGUAGGCGGUUUGUCGCGUCGGGAGUGAAAACACACAGCUUAACUGUGUGCUUGCUUUCGAUACGGGCAGACUAGAGGUAUGCAGGGGAGAACGGAAUUCCUGAUGUAGCGGUGAAAUGCGCAGAUAUCAGGAGGAACACCGGUGGCGAAGGCGGUUCUCUGGGCAUUACCUGACGCUGAGGAGCGAAAGUGUGGGGAGCGAAC